rnacentral:rRNA from 1 species
CUAGCGACUUCAGAGUUUGAUCCUGGCUCAGGACGAACGCUGGCGGCGCGCCUAACACAUGCAAGUCGAACGGAGUUGUUGGAACUGAAGUUUUCGGAUGGACGUACUGACAACUUAGUGGCGAACGGGUGAGUAACGCGUGGGUAACCUGCCUUUUAGAGGGGGACAACAGUUGGAAACGACUGCUAAUACCGCAUAAGACCACGGUAUCGCAUGAUACAGUGAUCAAAGGAGCAAUCCGCUAAAAGAUGGGCCCGCGUCUGAUUAGAUAGUUGGUGGGGUAACGGCCUACCAAGUCAACGAUCAGUAGCCGGACUGAGAGGUUGAUCGGCCACAUUGGGACUGAGACACGGCCCAG